CUCCUCCAUAGCACAAUGUCACUUUUCAGUAUUGGUGGACUCACGUGCCUCUCUGUAUAAAGUUGGCUUGUCCUCCUCCGUCAAAACAACAUAAGCACAAAUAUGAUUAGCAGAAGGAAUGAAAGAAGUGACAUAGUCAUCAUAUCUGGCAGGAGGUCUAAUGACCCUCCUAAGCCGCUCAGACUCUAUUGGCGGCUCUUUCAAUGAGAGAGCAUCCUCAUGAGAUUGUGGAGAUUGUGGAGACUCUGCACCUGAUUCAUCAUCAACUACCUCAUCGUUCUCUUAUGCUUGCUCUGCUUGCAUCUCGUCACCUG
rnacentral:lncRNA from 1 species